rnacentral:lncRNA from 7 species
ACACCGCACAGUUAGCAAAGAAAGAGAGAAAGGGUGAGCCGAACACCUAACGGUUAGCACUUGGCAGAGAAAGAGAGAAGGGUUGGAGGGAGCCACAGAUCGUUGCUGCUGGCCACACACCGUCGCACGGCCAGUAGCGAACAAUCUGGGAACUUCACCAAGGUGCGGGGAAGGUCUCCGUGGGCUUCUUCGGCGGGAUUAGUAGCUCGUGUGCCCAGAAUUUCUCGUCGUCGCGGUACACCCACCGCAAGGCUACCCAACGCCGGGGCUAGCCUCUUCACCAAACUUCAUUGCCGCCCUCAGGUUUACGCCCGGGAGCUAUGGCCAUGGCGCACCACCGUGGGGGCAACAUCACUACCGUAGUCCAGCCUGGGGUAGGAGAAAGAAUGUGCACCGUGCGUCGGGUGAUGAACGGUUAGAUUUGAAGGCUAUGCCUCCCCUUUCGCAUAUUAAACGGUGUCCAUUGGAUCUGAUCGGAUGGGUGGAGUUUGCGCUCUGGCAUGGAUGUUUCAUGUGCGUCGAUUUUGAAUCUGAGCACCCCGGUCGUUUACCGAUUCGAUGGCGGGCUGGAUCUAAUCCAGGCCAGCUCGCUGGAUCAUGAUAAU